rnacentral:rRNA from 1 species
CCAAUAGCGUAUAUUAAAGUUGUUGCAGUUAAAAAGCUCGUAGUUGAAUUUCGGGAUUGACACAUCGGUCGUGCCUUAAGGGGUAUGAACUGGUGUAGUCAAUUUCUCACCUUCUGGAGAACCGCGAUGUCCUUAAUUGGGUGCCGCGGGGAACCAGGACCUUUACUUUGAAAAAAUUAGAGUGUUUAAAGCAGGCAUUUUUGCUUGAAUACAUUAGCAUGGAAUAAUAAAAUAGGACGGCAUGGUUCUAUUUUGUUGGUUUCUAGGACCACCGUAAUGAUUAAUAGGGAUAGUUGGGGGCAUUAGUAUUCAAUUGUCAGAGGUGAAAUUCUUGGAUUUAUUGAAGACUAACUACUGCGAAAGCAUUUGCCAAGGAUGUUUUCAUUAAUCAAGAACGAAAGUUAGGGGAUCGAAGACGAUCAGAUACCGUCGUAGUCUUAACCAUAAACUAUGCCGACUAGGAAUCAGACGAUGUUAAUUUUUUAAUGACUCGUUUGGCACCUUACG